GACACUUCAUCAGCAAAGAGUGGAGGAGUUGGAGCAGAAAAUCAGUGUUGUGUCCCAAGAGCUGGUCAGGCUACAACUGGAGAAGGAGGAGUGCGUGUCCUCUUUUACUCAUCUAAAGGAAGAGAGAGACCAACUCAAGGCAGAUCUCCAAGAGAACAUCGAAAUGAUGAUUGAAGUCCAGGGCGAACUUAGGGUAAUUCAGGAGAAGAACCUUAAACAAGAGGAGUGCAUUCACAAGCUGGAGGCGGCACAGGCAGCUCAAGAGGAACUCCACCCAGAGGAACUCGAAGCACAGAUGAAGACUCUUGAAGAGGAACUUGAACGUGUACAAGC
ensembl:lncRNA